rnacentral:rRNA from 1 species
GACUAACGCUGGCGGCGUGCCUAACACAUGCAAGUCGAACGAGAAAGCGAUAGCAAUAUCGCAAGUACAGUGGCGAACGGGUGAGUAACACGUAAACAACCUGCCCUCAAGUGGGGGAAAACCUGGGGAAACCCGGGCUAAUCCCCCGUAAGGUAAUUCAGACACAUGUCUGGAUUAUUAUAGAUUUAUCGCUUAAGGAGGGGUUUGCGUCUGAUUAGCUAGUUGGCGGGAUAACAGCCCACCAAGGCCAUGAUCAGUAGCUGGUCUGAGAGGAUGAUCAGCCACACUGGGACUGAGAUACGGCCCAGACACCUACGGGUGGCUG